CAGAUUCGAGCUUCUUCUAAAGUCGAUAAAGCUAGGCCUGAGCAUUUGGUUGUGAGGAAUUCAGGUACAUUCGCGGUGGACAUAAUUCAAGGCAGAGGGCUUGAGUAAUUUUGGUCUUGUGUAUAUUCUGAUAUGGGUUUCUCUGUAUAUGGAUACUUUUUUCUGAGAAACAAAUAAAAUUUUAUAUUCUGGAAUCUUCAUUUCUAUCUUUCUUUCAGUAUUGCUGCAAUAAUUCAAGACUACUGUUUUGCUGAUGGAAUUUACUAACUGGUAUCUU